rnacentral:rRNA from 1 species
UACAGAGGGGGCAAGCGUUGUUCGGAAUUACUGGGCGUAAAGGGCGCGUAGGCGGCCUGCUAAGUCGAACGUGAAAUCCCCGGGCUCAACCCGGGAACUGCGUCCGAUACUGGCAGGCUUGAAUCCGGGAGAGGGAUGUGGAAUUCCAGGUGUAGCGGUGAAAUGCGUAAAUAUCUGGAGGAACACCGGUGGCGAAGGCGGCAUCCUGGACCGGCAUUGACGCUGAGGCGCGAAAGCCAGGGGAGCAAACGGG